rnacentral:tRNA from 1 species
GGGUCAGUAGCUCAACUGGUAGAGCAUCGGUCUCCAAAACCGGUGGUUCCGGGUUCAAGUCCUGGCUGGCCUGCCA